UACAGAGGGGGCAAGCGUUAUUCGGAAUUAUUGGGCGUAAAGGGCGCGUAGGCGGUGCCACAAGUCACCUGUGAAAUCUCCGGGCUUAACUCGGAGCCUGCAGGCGAAACUGUGGUGCUGGAGUGUGGGAGAGGUGCGUGGAAUUCCCGGUGUAGCGGUGAAAUGCGUAGAUAUCGGAAGGAACACCUGUGGCGAAAGCGGCUCACUGGACCAUUACUGACGC
rnacentral:rRNA from 1 species